UGGGGAAUAUUGCACAAUGGAGGGAACUCUGAUGCAGCGACGCCGCGUGAACGAAGAAGGCUUUCGAGUCGUAAAGUUCUUUUAUAUGGGAAGAUAAUGACGGUACCAUAAGAAAAAGCCCCGGCUAACUACGUGCCAGCAGCCGCGGUAAUACGUAGGGGGCUAGCGUUGUCCGGAAUCACUGGGCGUAAAGGGUUCGCAGGCGGAAAUGCAAGUCAGAAGUAAAAGGCAGUAGCUUAACUACUGUAAGCAUUUGAAACUGCAUAUCUUGAGAAGAGUAGAGGUAAGUGGAAUUUUUAGUGUAGCGGUGAAAUGCGUAGAUAUUAAAAAGACUACCGGUGGCGAAGGCGACUUACUGGGCUCAUUCUGACGCUGAGGAACGAAAGCGUGGGUAGCAAACAGG
rnacentral:rRNA from 1 species